AUUGAACGCUGGCGGCAUGCUUUACACAUGCAAGUCGAACGGUAACAGGGUGCUUGCACCGCUGACGAGUGGCGAACGGGUGAGUAAUGCGUCGGAACGUGCCGAGUAGUGGGGGAUAACGCAGCGAAAGUUGUGCUAAUACCGCAUACGUACUGAGGUAGAAAGUGGGGGACCUUCGGGCCUCACGCUAUUCGAGCGGCCGACGUCUGAUUAGCUAGUAGGUGAGGUAAAGGCUCACCUAGGCGACGAUCAGUAGCGGGUCUGAGAGGAUGAUCCGACAAACUGGGACUGAGACACGGCCCAGACUCCUACGGGAGGCAGCAGUGGGGAAUUUUGGACAAUGGGCGAAAGCCUGAUCCAGCCAUGCCGCGUGUCUGAAGAAGGCCUUCGGGUUGUAAAGGACUUUUGUCAGGGAGGAAAUCCCUAGCGUUAAUACCGCUGGGGGAUGACAGUACCUGAAGAAUAAGCACCGGCUAACUACGUGCCAGCCGCCGCAGUAA
rnacentral:rRNA from 1 species